rnacentral:rRNA from 1 species
UACGUAGGGUGCGAGCGUUAUCCGGAAUUAUUGGGCGUAAAGGGCUCGUAGGCGGUUUGUCGCGUCGGGAGUGAAAAUCCAGGGCUUAACUCUGGACUGGCUUCCGAUACGGGCAGACUAGAGGUAUGCAGGGGAGAACGGAAUUCCUGGUGUAGCGGUGAAAUGCGCAGAUAUCAGGAGGAACACCGGUGGCGAAGGCGGUUCUCUGGGCAUUACCUGACGCUGAGGAGCGAAAGUGCGGGGAGCGAACAGG